rnacentral:rRNA from 1 species
AGUCGAACGCUGGCACGGACUUCGGUCUGGUGGCGAGUGGCGAACGGGUGAGUAAUGUCGGAACGUGCCUAGUAGCCAGGAUAACUACGUGAAAGCGUAGCUAAUACCACAUACGCCCUUCGAGAAAAGCGGGGGACCUUCGGGCCUCGCACUAUUAAACGGCCGAUAUCGGAUUAGCUAGUUGGUGGGGGGAACGGCUCACCAAGGCGACGAUCCGUAGCUGGUUUGAAGGACGACCAGCCACUACUGGGACUGAGACACGGCCAGACUCCUACGGAGGCAGCGGUGGAGAUUUUGGACAAUGGGGAAACCCUGAAUCAGUACAUCCCGCGUGUGCGAUGACCUUCGGGUUUGUAAAGCACUUUUGGCAGGAAGAAACGGCACGGGAUAAUACCCCGUGCAACUGACAGUACCUGCAGAAUAAGCACCGGCUAACUACGUGCCAGCAGCCGCGGUAAUGCAUGGGGUGCAAGCGUUAAUCGGAAUUACUGGGCGUAAAGUGCAUGAGCGGUUCGGAAAAAGAUGUGAAAUCCCAGAGCUUAACUUUGGAACUGCAUUUUUUUAACUACCGAGCUAGAGUGUGUCAGAGGUGGAAUUUCGCGAUAACGGUGAAAUGCGUAGAUAUGCUGGAAGGAACUUCGAUGGCGAGGCAGCCUCCUGGGGGAUAGCACUGACGCUCAUGCACAACGUGAGGCAAACAGGAUUAGAUACCCUGGUAGUCCACGCCCUAAACGAUGUCAACUAGCUGUUGGGGCCUUCGGGCCUGUGGCCAGCGCAGCUAACGCGUGAAGUUGACCGCCUGGAAGUACGGUCGCAAGAUUAAAACUCAAAGGAAUUGACGGGGACCCGCACAAGCGGUGGAUGAUGUGGAUUAAUUCGAUGCAACGCGAAAACCUUACCUACCCUUGACAUGUCUGGAAUCGAAGAGAUUUGGGAGUGCUCGCAAGAGGAGCCGGAACACAGGUGCUGCAUGGCUGUCGUCAGCUCGUGUGUCGUAGAUGUUGGGUUAAGUCCCGCAACAGGCGCAACCCUUGUCAUUAGUUGCUACGAAGGAGCACUCUAAUGAGACUGCCGACAAACCGGAGGAAGGUGGGGAUGACGUCAAGUCCUCAUGGCCCUUGUGGGUAGGGCCACGUCGCUGCAAUGGUCGGGACGGAAGGUCGCCAGCCCGCGAGGAAUAAUCCCAGAAACCCGAUCGUGGUCCGGAUCGCAGUCUGCAACUCGACUGCGUGAAGUCAGAAUCGCUAGUAAUCGCGGAUCGGCAUGUCGCGGUGAUACGUUCCCGGGUCUUGUAUUUUGCCGCCCGUCACACCGCAUGGGGAAUUAGGUUUGCAAGUAGUUAGCCUAACCGUAAGGAGGGCGAUUACCACAGUAGGAUUCGCGGCUGGGGUGAAGUCAUGAGUAA